rnacentral:rRNA from 1 species
UACGGAGGGUGCAAGCGUUAAUCGGAAUUACUGGGCGUAAAGCGCACGCAGGUGGCUGAGUCAGUCGAUUGUGAAAGCCCCAGGCUCAACCUGGGAAGUGCACUCGAUACUGCGUAGCUUGAGUAUCGGAGAGGUUGGUGGAAUUCUCGGUGUAGAGGUGAAAUUCGUAGAUAUCGAGAGGAACACCGGUGGCGAAGGCGGCCAACUGGACGAAUACUGACGCUGAGACACGAAAGCGUGGGGAGCAAACAGG